GAGAAUAAUUAUUUGACUGAUUUUUACUUGAGAUCCUGAGAUAUGUAUGUAAGCGAUCUCAUUUGUACAAGUCAUCAUUCUGUAAUUGAAAUGAGUAAAGUAAACCAGUUUUGGCCAAUAUUGGUUAUUUGUUUAUAUUCUCUUUAGUGCUGAAGCCGAACGAUUUCCUUCAACAUCAGCAGUAGCCUCCCAGCUAUGUCCACUCCAGUUCGUGCAGACGGCCCUCAGUGCCCAAAUUUGCCUCCUUCAAAACAGAUUGGAAUGUCAAGUACAGUCUCUGACAGUUUUGUUGAUAUCACUGGAGAUCCAGAGAAAUCAAGGUUGGAGGUGUUUGCACAAACCAAUGACAGUUUGGCAGGGAAUCCCUAUUCUGUUCUUAGUCCUGAUGAAAAUGAUAGUGCAGACAGUGACAAUGCAAGUGAAGCAGCUGAAAGUGUCCUUGCCAUCUCAGCCUUCGACAACCACCAAUAUCUAGAGCUGGA